AGGCAGAGAACAGCACAGCAUAGCUGCUCACACACGGAGUGCCCGCCUGCCACCUGCUUUAAGUACCAUCUCCAAUGCUUAGAUUCUGUGAACUAGCUAUUAUUCCGAGCACUUUACAGAAGAGGGACAUAAGCACGCAAGGGUCAGUCUGGGCACUCUAUGAGGACAUUGCCUUUGUCCAUCUCCUUUGCCACGCCCUCAACAUUUCCAACGAACAUUUACUGAAGAUGUUUUGAGUGACUUCUGGGCUUUGAUUAACUAACUACUCCGGAAGCAAACUGUGUGUUGAUGGAUUUACUUUGCUACCGUCCUGCUCAAACUCUCUGAGGUCAGCACAUCAGUAUUUGGAGAAAGCAAGUUUGAGUCCCCGUGC